rnacentral:tRNA from 1 species
GGAGCGGUAGUUCAGUCGGUUAGAAUACCUGCCUGUCACGCAGGGGGUCGCGGGUUCG